GACAAACAGGCCGAGUUAAGUUGUGUUUGGUAAAAAAAGAAAAUAGAGAGGCAUUGUGCGGAAAAGCUAGCUCUUUUUUGAUGGGUGGAAUCUGUAGAGAGAGAGAUGGGCUUGUGGUUUUCUUUUUCCUUGCUUUUUCGAAAUAUUAGUGGAAGACCGGGAUUAGAUACCCCGUUAUUUUUUUUGUAAAAUUUAAUUGUUGGUUUUGAUUUACCUGAGUAUUACGAGUGUGGCUGUGGGCUAUAGAGAUGCGCUUAGCUGCUAGUGCUUAAAACUCAAAAAACUUGGCGGUGCCUCAUUUCCUUCCAGGGGAACCUGUCCUGUAAUCGAUGGUCCACGUUUUAGCUUACUUCUUUUUGCAUUUAUGUGUUUGGGCGCAGAACAGUUUGUAUACCGUCGUCGUCAGAUUACCUUUGAGAGAUAGCGAAGUUGUCAGAAGAAGGUCGCUGUGGGGUCACUGGGUGUUUUGUGGGGAAACCUGCAGAGCAGUUAGGGGCUGUAUAGCAACUUUUGAUGUCAGAUCAAGGUGCAGCUUAUAGAGGAGUAGAGAUGGGUUACAUUCUUUAUUUUAUUGGUGGAUUUUACAUUGUAAUUUGUAGAUGAAAUUGGACUUGGAAGUAAUUAAGGGAGAACUAAUUAUAGGGCGGCAUAUUUAGAAAGUCUUUAUGAAAGUUGGUAUUGGGGUGCGU
rnacentral:rRNA from 1 species